GGGUCAUCCAUAAUUGUCAACCAUUUUCCAAAGUGUACAAAACGUACACUUGGGGGGAGGGGGUUAAAAAAUCAACAUUUUUACCGUACGCUUUUUUUUUUAUUUCCAGAAUUUAUUUCGUUUCCGUAGGGAAGGUCGAUGUAAAAAAUCGAUAAUUGGCUUGGGUGUGUUUCUCUUCUUAUUUCUUCUUUAUUAUUUUCACUUGAUAAUAUUUAUUUCGAUAUCAUAAUUCUCCUCAAUCCGGAUUGAACGAUUAAAAGCUCAAAUCAUAUGAAAACUAAAUCUUUGAUGAAAUGUAAACUUGUAAAAAAAUUUAAACAAAAAGUUUGCAAGCAUUUCUCAGUACCCCCAAUUGUCAAUUUCACCUGCUUUAUUAUAAAUCGUUAUCGUUUCACUCUGCUAGAGGGCGCAGAAUUAUUCGAGUUAUGUAAUGUAUUCCAAAACAGU
rnacentral:lncRNA from 1 species